ensembl:lncRNA
GUGGGCGGAUGGACCGGAAGACGCUCAAGAGAUAGAGAACUGGGAGGACCAGUGAAGGGGCCGGUAAGCAGAUGCAUAAACUGACCAAAAGCCCAGCCAGACUUUGGGAUGGAAAAGGUCACCUUGGAGAGUGAAAGGAAGUGCUAUUAAUAAUUACGCUGGGACAGUAGGCGUUGUCCGGGACUGUCCUGGGCGAACCUGGAGUAUGGCCAUCCUGCCACAGAUGGGGGCUUUGGACAAGUCACUUCACUUCUCUGCAUGGACAUGGACAUGAUGGCAGGAUUGUCUCUCGGGGGCUCUCGUGAGGAUUAAAUGUGAUGCUGCAUGUGAGAGGCUACAGGGCUGGGGUGCCUCAGAUGCUCAAAAAGUGCUCGUUAUUAUACUGCUAUGAGUGACAACCACGGCAGCACUAGGCCCUGCCUCCGUCAUUGUCCUUCCAGUCCAUUCUCGGCUCACAGCAAGAGCUUCCAGACGCACACCUGAUCACACCGUCCACUGGCUCCAUCCCCGCCUCGGCGAGGUGGGACACCUGACCCGAGAUCAAGCCCCUAAGACCUGGCCUGGUUCUCUCCCAGGCCUUGGCUGUGCCCCCAUCACUGCCUCUCAGGGCAACCCCCCUUCCUCGUCACCCGAGCUUUCAGCGCCUCUGAGACUGCUCUAAAUUCUCCCCCGGACAAGGCACCUCGGAGCCUGACCUGGGGAAAGAGCUCCAACCGACUGGAGCCUCAGUCCUGCUGCUGUGCCACUUGAACAAGUGCUGGAAUUCUUUAUACCUCAGUUUCCCCAUCUGUCCAGCUGGGGAAAUAACCCCCGCCCUUGGCGGCCAGCAUGAGGAUUCAGGGAGCCAACGAAAGAGGUGAAGCACUGUGUGAAGGUAAAGCCCUUGUCUCCUCCACCUGUGUGUAAAGAUGGCUCCGGUCCCCAGCCAGGACAGCGCUCAGACUAUUUCCUGCAGCCACACCUGCCUCCUCCACACGGAUCCUUAGCUCCAAGCCUUUGCUUGUGCGGUCUCCUGCCAGGUGUGGGUGCACUGCCACUGCCCUCCCCUCUGCCUCUGGGUCCUUUCCAGCCCCACUCAGCUAGCCCUCCGUCCUCUGCAGGCUGUGUGAUGGGCAGCCCGCAGGACUGCCUGCCUGCCUGGCCUCCCGGAGCUGGAUGGCAGAACAACAUGAGGGCCGGCUCAGAGUCUAUCUCCCCUCCUGGAGGGUGGCACCGGCACUAUGCAUGGCUGAGUCCCUGCCCCUCACGGGCAGGGUUAAGCGGCACCCAGUAAAGUCUUCUGAAACCAUCCGUCCCAGAUGUGACCUC